rnacentral:lncRNA from 1 species
AUUUUAAAGAGCCAUAUCCAGGAAUCUAGCUUCAUAAUAUUCUGCUUAUGUGUUUUAGGGUUGAAGGUUUUUUUCCUGUCAUGAAAGAGAAAAGGUAGCUAUGUCAAGGUUUCUAUUCUUGUAAUUGUUAUUUUAAUAUUCCCAAUAUAUGUGAUCUUGGUUUUGCAGAGGUUGAACAUUUCCCUUCUGCUUUUUGCUUUAUUUUACAGAUUCCAGUUGAUGGAAACUUUCAUGUCUGGUCUUACUGCCAGUUCAGCAGCUCCAAAACUCAAGAUGCAAGGUUUCUGUUUCCUUAGAAGGUUGCAUGCUGUGCUCCUAAUAGAAAUACCUCUCUCUUGCUCACCCUGACAGGAAUUAUUUAAAUGCAUCCAUCACUGACAAAUCUCAAAUCAAAUCAGAUAUUAAUCAAAGGCUUCAUUUUUUCUUUUCUUUUAAUUUGAAAGAGCUGCAACAAUGGAAUAAAUUCAGCAAGAGAAAAGUCAGUUCUGUUGAAGAAAAUGCACAUGAAAACUACUAGAGAUGUUUUUGCCAAAGGCAGUGCCCACAUCACUCUUUUCUACUCUAUUAUUUCUCCUACCUUCCUCCAUUGCGUGGAAUUAAUUUGAGGCUCAGAAGGGCUGGCCCAGGGGCCAUGUAAUUUCCUGGCUUUUAUGGGAGAACUCCUGAGAGAGCACCAGUGGCUCAACACCUAAACUUGACCCAGAAAAAGACUGCAAAAGCCAUACUCAUAAAAAAAGAGAUCCAGUUUAGUAAAGAGCCAGAACCUCAAAAAGCUUCUGCAGGUCACUGGAGCAAUUAUGAACAUUAGCCUCUCUAGCAGGUGAAGCUACAAGCUCUUGUAGGAAACCAAGAAUGUAGACUCCAGGAAGCCUGCCAUUCCUGGACAAGCUACAGAAAAUCCCAAGCUCUAACACUCAAAACUUCUGCAUUUCUUCCCUUUGGCAAAAGGAUUAAGUGUUUCUAUGGAAAAGGAACAUUUUACCAUCUGCCAAAACUUCCUUUCCUGCAGGAGGACAAGCCCAAAGCAUUACGCAGUCUUAAUAAAUACAUAAAGUUUGUCUCCAUGUUCUUGUUCCAAGGGUAUAACAUUCACUCAACGACCAUCCCACACAUUGCUGUGACAAUAAGACUGGCCCUAAUGGCUACACACGUGCUAGCAAAUUAAAUCCCACUAAGCAGUACUCCCAGUCACUGAAAUAUGCAUUGCUAAACUGUUACAGCAGUGCCUGGUACACAUCUGGUCUCAUGCUUUCCUAAACAACUCUUAUAGCUCGGGAGUUAAGCAGAUGUAAGGAGCCUUUGUAAGAUGCAGUUUACAUGUAGUUACCUGAUUAUGGUGGCUAGCAGAGUUUCCUCAUGUGGAAGAUAAUUUUCCCAUAGCAGUCUGAGCUCAUUAUUACGGAACGUUGCCAGAAGCACUAAAUUUAGUAGGGAAGAUGUAGCUAUGAAGAAUACAUCAUUUACAUCUUGCAUGGACACACAUCCAAAGCAAAGCAAGUUCUUGUGGAUGUAUCAUACCUUCCUUCAGAUGGUUCAAUCCAAAGUAAGCUGUCUUUCCACUUAACUAUAAAAAUGUCCUUCUAGUACUUCUAAUAUUAAACAUUAGCAGAAGCCAACCUAUUAACACUUAUAGCACAGGAUCUUGAUCCUCAUCAUAUUCAGUACUAACAAAAACCCACUCUUUUGACCCAGUUACAAAUCAGUAGGAGUGAUUAAACAGCAUAAAUAUGAAUGACAAAGAGCCCUAUGAAUUGGCUCUGUUCCCAGAUAUCUGUACUAAUGUGAUCGUAACCUCAUCACCAUCUAUUUCCUCCAUAUAUAGAUAAUUAAUUUAUUUUCAAGGAGAUAUAACUGACUGGGAACUGAGAAUAUGAUGUAUCUUAUCUACUAGGAAAUCUGUCUAGUACAGUCCUAUGUCUCCAUCAAAGAGCAGCACCCGUUAAAUGAGCGAGUACCUCCGGGUAAGCAAACAUCACAGACUGUGCCUCCACAUUCAAGUCCAUACAUGAUCUUUAAUAGCCAGCUAUUGGUAUCAAACACGAAAAUCAGAUUUUACAGCUUUUCCAGAGAUUUACUUAUCAUUUGUUACAUCAGUUCAAGGUAUUAGCUGUAGCCUUGUAAAUGACCAGUCUCAAAACCGCGGGUGCUAACAAAUCAUUUUUAUGCUGGUCAGAUGAAAAGAAAAGCUAACAGAGAAAUUCAAAUUUCAAAUCAGCGUAUUUUUAGAUGACCUAUAGCUCAAACAGUCUGACAGCAUGCCUUUAAAUGUUGCAGAAAUAUUUUCUUUCUUUCACAGGAAAUGUGGCAAUUUUCUGGCCAAGUUAAGGUGCCAAUUCAGGAAAGCAUCACUAUUCAGAAAGGAUGUAAGCAUAUGCUUAACUUGAAGCAUGCACUUGAGGCUCUUCGACUUAAUGAUAGGAUCUAAGCACAUAUUUACAUUUAAGCACAUGUCUGAGUGCUUUCCUCCACAGAGACAGAUUUAAGCUCGUGCUUCACUGCUUUCACUGUCUAAUUUUCCAAGACAAAGCUAUAGGUAGAGAUAAAAUAGCGUGUUAGAAUGGAAGCUGCUUGCCAGGCUAAAUGCAUAUAGACAAUCAACCUCUGCAAAAUUAUAUGCAAACAUAAAGGUGCACAGCUCAUUAGUUGGGUACUGAGGGGGAGAGGGACAAUGAGCCUCUGAACUGUGGUCCCAGCUCACAGAAAUUACAAGAGCUGGGCCUUCAGCUCACGGAAGAGGUGAUUGAAUACCUAAUACUGGACGUACAGCCACCUUGACUGAAUCUGAGGUUAAAGCAUGAAAGGAAAUAACACCUGGUGUUUCUGUGCAUUUGACUCAAGCCCAGGGCAAGACAGGCAUUAAAUGGGUGCAAAUGGCCUCAGGCUAUCGAUGGCUGCUGUUCUGUCUGCCUUUGAAAAAGAGGGAGAAUUUUAGUAGUGAGACAAGCAGGAGAUAGUGAGGACUGAAAACAGCUCAGAACUGCAGUGUUCAGUUUCAUCAGGACUUUGAAAUACUCCAAUAAAAUGGAGUAACAUAUUCCUAUGGGAAGACUU